UGUAACACUGACCACAAAUGUCUGCAGC
rnacentral:piRNA from 1 species